rnacentral:snoRNA from 1 species
CUGUGAGGGGGAUGAUGUACUAUUAUGAGGCUCUCAAGAUGCUGACAUUUCUUGAUUCCGCUUCUGAACAUGAUCUACGA